rnacentral:rRNA from 1 species
AUUGAACGCUGGCGGCAGGCCUAACACAUGCAAGUCGAGCGGAUGAAGGGAGCUUGCUCCUGGAUUCAGCGGCGGACGGGUGAGUAAUGCCUAGGAAUCUGCCUGGUAGUGGGGGAUAACGUCCGGAAACGGGCGCUAAUACCGCAUACGUCCUGAGGGAGAAAGUGGGGGAUCUUCGGACCUCACGCUAUCAGAUGAGCCUAGGUCGGAUUAGCUAGUUGGUGGGGUAAAGGCCUACCUAGGCGACGAUCCGUAACUGGUCUGAGAGGAUGAUCAGUCACACUGGAACUGAGACACGGUCCAGAGUCCUACGGGAGGCAGCAGUGGGGAAUAUUGGACAGUGGGCGAAAGCCUGAUCCAGCCAUGCCGCGUGUGUGAAGAAGGUCUUCGGAUUGUAAAGCCCUUUAAGUUGGGAGGAAGGGCAGUAAGUUAAUACCUUGCUGUUUUGACGUUACCAACAGAAUAAGCACCGGCUAACUUCGUG